rnacentral:tRNA from 1 species
GCCUUCGUGGUGUAACGGUAGCACGCUGGGCCUGUAUUCCAGAGGUCCGUGGUUCGAUUCCCGGCGAAGGCG